ACCGCGAUAGCUCAAUUGAUAGAGAAUCUUCCCGGUAGGUCGAGUGUCGCCAGUUCGAUUCCGGCUCGCGAUG
rnacentral:tRNA from 1 species